rnacentral:misc_RNA from 1 species
CCACCGCCACAAGACAGUUAGCAGAACGCGUACCGGCGCCAGCAUGCCACCCAAGCCAGCAGGAGGUCAAAGGGGCUCCGCGAAGAAAGCUAAGCCCGUCUUUGAUGCCUUUGAGCGACUGUGCCAGUACACGUCGGUCUCGUUGCCGAACGCGCCAGGCAGCCACUGCGCCGCCUUGAAGGCUCUAGCGCAGCCCACCAACACACUGAGCACGUCGCCGGCCGCUGUAGUGGUAGGCGGGGAGGCGAGAGCGGAUGGCAGUCAAGCUGCGGAAUUCACCUCUAGCGCCAUCACAAUUAAGCCGCCGCUGCCACGCACAGAAGUGUCGCUCCUCGUGCAGUUCCGCGUCUCCGUCGCGCUGGUGGAGGGGGAUAUCAUCUACAUCCACCUUCCCAAAUUCCGCGGGCCAGUGGCGCAGCAGUUCGCCCUUCAGCGUGUAUUCUCUGGCACCGGCGCUGGUGCAGGAGACCUAGCAGCGGGCAACUUGGUAGAGCGCGUCGACGACAUCGACACAAGCUCCCACUUCCGCGCUUACUGGUCGGGAGACUCGGCGAAGGUCAUUACCCCGGUACGUCAGCUCGCCUUCAAGCGUGGUAAGAACGGCGGGGCGCCGCCGAAGCAGGUGUUGCUGCUCCAGUGCAUCAAGGCCGUCAACGCGAACACGCACCUCGUGUUCGGUGUGCCACGUGCGCUGGGUCUCGUGUCGCCUGAUAAGCUGCCGGCAAACAGCCCAAAGAUCAAGAUCGAGGGCCCCCUGAUUCGCGAGGCUAGCGGGCGGCGCAUCCUUAAGCAGGUAAUGUUCUCCUCAGAGAUCAAGAAGCGCACAGUGGUGGAGGAGCUGGAGGUGUACGACCAGUGUAUUGCGCAUGUUGCGCAGGAGGGCCGGCUGCAGACCGCGGACCGCCACCUCGGCGAGCAGCUGUCACUGGAGGAGGUGGACCAGCUCUGGAAGGCGGCGCAGUGCCGUCGGCGCUAUCCUCUACCGAUGCCAUGGUCCAUUGCGGAAGAGCUCUCCAUCUCCUACGACGCCGCUGGCGGCUUCGUGAAGCGAAUAAUUCAGAACGCAAUCAAGGGCAUCAAGGACUUCGACCCCCUUGCGAUCCACCGGGAGGUGGCGCGCAACUGGGGCGUCAAGGUUGCUGCUGUGGUGGUGCUCGAUGACUUCCUCACGACGCAGUGGGGAGGGCUCUAUCCAGGGCUGCCGCGCGCGUCGCUGUUUGCGAUAUGCCUCCUGACAAUGGAACCGGAGGACGUGGGGCGCACGUUUCCCAGGCUGCUAACGCUGCCGGAGCGCUCGAUCGCCGAGGAUCUGGUCAGCGCUUUCCGCAUGCGGACAACGCUGCUCGACAGCACGUCGUCGGCGCCAUCAGCCGCCGCGGCGGAGGAGGACGACGUAGGGAUCGACGUCGACAGUCUGCCAGACCGCUGCGGCGCGUUCCUUCAGAAGUGGGCGGCGCUGCUCACCGCGCUGUUCCCGGCCUCCUUCGUGGCUGAGGAGAGCGGUGACAGCACCGCCCGGGCAGCCGCGAAGACGAUGGCGGCUGCGGCGCAGUCGCAUGAAUCGAGCGAGGCGGUUGUAGCCAUGAGGGAGGGCGCCGUGGCUGACGUGCAGGUGAUGGGGGCAGACGGAAGCCCCCGCGUCGGCUUUCAGCUGCCAGCCCGGGACGAGGUGGACGACAAUGCGCAGGACGAGGAUGGCUUGGCGUUUGUUCGCAACCGUCGGCGGCACAGCAGCGGAACCAAUACCUCAGGGUACUGUAUGGGCGCCAUUGCCACUCUGCAGCCUCCGCCGACGCUCUACAUUGGCUACCGCGACGUCCCUUUCGAUGUGCAGCGGUCGCUGCGCGAGAUCGAGCGUGGGGACUGGUUUGUGCUCCCCUGCUUCGUGGUGGCGCGGCAGUCGCUGCCGUACGCGGCGACCACCACAGCCAGGCUCGAGCGCCCCGUGACGCUGAACGGCGGAGAUGACAGCACCUCGCAGGUGAAUCCCGCCACGGAGGAUGACGAGAGGAGCGAAGUCGCCAGCGAUGGCGCCAUCGUGGCCAUUCCCGAUAACGCGGUCGUGGUAGAGCUGCGCAACGUCGUGGAAGCUCUGGAGCUGGCCGACCUCUCCUUCUCACCGCACAACCGCGCAUGGCUGCUGCCGCUGGUCACGUCCUGCCGCGUUGUUGCCGUUGAGGAAGACCAACACGACGUGCUGCACGUCAUCCUCGAUAUGCAGGGCAGCCUUCUGGGGCACGUGAACGAUCCCUACCUCCCGCAGAGCGACCGCAGCGUGGCCACGAUGGUCCUCAACAAGUACCUGCUGAAAACGGAGCUGUCCGAGACGUACAUCUCUGCACUCAGCUUCCUCGCGCUGCUGUGUGCACGGCGCAACGAGCGGCGUCGGCUGCACCCACCAACACUCAUUCGCGCGCAGUACCUGUCCCACUGCAACGCGGCGCUCCGCGCCGCUAUCGCGAAACAGCACGUGGAGGAGACGGAGAGCGUUGAGUGGCAGGUGCACACGCACGAGGCGCAGCUGCUCGACGAGGGGGUUGUGAAGCCGGCGGUGUGGGAGCCGAUCCCAAAGAAGUUCAUGCUGACGGUGGAGCAGUUCUUCCUAGGCCACUCCCGCACCCUCACGAAGCUGGAAGAGGGAUCUCUGUCUGUGGACUUGGAGGCCUACACGAUUGACUACGGCGGCAAAGGGCCGCGGGCGCUGCGCCGGGUCGUGCAGAAGGUGUACGUCACACACGAGCCCAUUAUCACGGAAACGUUUACCAUACUGCACGAGCGUGAGGAGCAAUACACGAAGCAGAUUAGCAUGCUCGAUACGAAGCUGGGCAUCAACACGGGCACGGCAUCUGGUACAACUGGUAGUGGGGCUGGGGUAUCUGCUAGCGUCACCGCCAACGGCAAUGGCAGGAAAGGGUCCAGGAAGUGACGUGCCCCCGCUGUGUGACCCUUCGAGUGUGGUAUGCUCACGUGAUGCAUCACAACAGAGGAGAGGCCCCACCACGCACCUCGCCGCUUCCGUGUCGCAGGACCAGCAAGCCUUGGGCCGCCCUAUGUGAUGGCAUACAACUGCUUAUAGUCACGUCGGUGUGUGCGUGUGUGCCUGUCGCCACUGUUGGGGAGUUUGAUCGAGUGCGCUGACAGUGGGUGUCUCGUGUUUCUCGCGCGCUUCCGCUGCGCCACGAGUGUUGUUAGUAAUGUACCGUAUUGUAGAUGCGAAGGGUUGAUGUCCUAUCGGCCCACUCCUCAAUGUAUAUUUAGAGUUUGCCCGAGUAUGUGCGUGUUUUGGUUCUUGAGCGUUGGCGCAGGCGUUCGCGAUGGUGCAUAUGAGUGAAAGAAGAGGAAAGUCGAAGGAGGAAGAGAUGGCGCGAGAGAGCUGUAUGUGCCACCUCUUCUCUUUCUAUGCACGCACACAUAAGCUUCACCGCACCUCUCCCCGCAUGCACUAGCAGGGAAACGCCACCGUGUAACAAGCUCUGCCCCCUCUCC